UAAGAAGCAGAGCUGAAGAACAAAUGGAACAUUCAGACUGAGCUUGGAGUGCUGAAAUUGUUGUGUGAAAGGAAGAGUGCAAGGCAACACGGACAUUGGCGCAGAUGGGCAACAUCUUGAACACAUUUGCUGGUGCAGAUUCCGAAUCUUCCCUUUGGGAAGUAAUUGGGAUUGAACUGGACCCAGAAGAUCUGUCGACUUAUUGCUUUGAACCUGAAUGGAGAACAUGCAACCAAAAGUACACAAUUCCUUUUACAGCAGAAACCAGAAAGUUGCGAUAUGCAAAUAAAGAUCGAAUUUCUACCAUGGGAAAUAUUGCCAGGAUUUCUAGAAUGCCAGCUAGACGUUUGAGGAGAAUGAUGUCUUUUAAACAAUGUACAACA